GGGGUUGUAGUUAAGUAUUAACAUUUAAAUUGCAAUUAAAAAACACUAAAUAUAGUCUUCCUCA
rnacentral:tRNA from 1 species